rnacentral:rRNA from 1 species
CUGGCUCAGAACGAACGCUGGCGGCAGGCCUAACACAUGCAAGUCGAGCGAGAUCUUCGGAUCUAGCGGCGGACGGGUGAGUAACGCGUGGGAACGUACCCUUUUCUACGGAAUAGCCUCGGGAAACUGGGAGUAAUACCGUAUACGCCCCUUGGGGGAAAGAUUUAUCGGAGAAGGAUCGGCCCGCGUUGGAUUAGGUAGUUGGUGGGGUAAUGGCCUACCAAGCCGACGAUCCAUAGCUGGUUUGAGAGGAUGAUCAGCCACACUGGGACUGAGACACGGCCCAGACUCCUACGGGAGGCAGCAGAGGGGAAUCUUAGACAAUGGGGGCAACCCUGAUCUAGCCAUGCCUUGUGGGUGAUGAAGGCCUUAGGGUUGUAAAGCUCUUCAGCUGGGAAGAUAAUGAC